rfam:Homo sapiens chromosome 9, GRCh38 reference primary assembly.
GCUGGGCAUGGUGAGGCAUGCCUGUGGUCCCAGCUACUUGGGAGGCUGAGGUGGGAGGAUUGCUUGAGCCCAGGAGGUUGAGGCUGCAGUGAGCCGAAGACUGCGCCACUACAUUUCAGCCUGGGAAACAGAGUGAGACCCUGCCUCAA